rnacentral:rRNA from 1 species
UACGAAGGGGGCUAGCGUUGUUCGGAUUUACUGGGCGUAAAGCGCGCGUAGGCGGCUCGUUAAGUCGGGGGUGAAAUCCUGGAGCUCAACUCCAGAACUGCCUUCGAUACUGGCGAUCUCGAGUCCGGAAGAGGUGAGUGGAACUCCUAGUGUAGGGGUGGAACUCGUAGAUAUUAGGAAGAACACCAGUGGCGAAGGCGGCUCACUGGUCCGGUACUGACGCUGAUGUGCGAAAGCGUGGGGAGCAAACAGG